GAUGAACGCUGGCGGCGUGCCUAAUACAUGCAAGUCGAGCGAACAGACGAGGAGCUUGCUCCUCUGACGUUAGCGGCGGACGGGUGAGUAACACGUGGAUAACCUACCUAUAAGACUGGGAUAACUUCGGGAAACCGGAGCUAAUACCGGAUAAUAUAUUGAACCGCAUGGUUCAAUAGUGAAAGACGGUUUUGCUGUCACUUAUAGAUGGAUCCGCGCCGCAUUAGCUAGUUGGUAAGGUAACAGCUUACCAAGGCGACGAUGCGUAGCCGACCUGAGAGGGUGAUCGGCGACACUGGAACUGAGACACGGUCCAGACUCCUACGGGAGGCAGCAGUAGGGAAUCUUCCGCAAUGGGCGAAAGCCUGACGGAGCAACGCCGCGUGAGUGAUGAAGGUCUUCGGAUCGUAAAACUCUGUUAUUAGGGAAGAACAAAUGUGUAAGUAACUAUGCACGUCUUGACGGUACCUAAUCAGAAAGCCACGGCUAACUACGUG
rnacentral:rRNA from 1 species